rnacentral:rRNA from 1 species
GAUGAACGCUGGCGGCGUGCCUAAUACAUGCAAGUCGAGCGAACGGACGCGAAUCUUGCUUCUCUGAUGUUAACGGCGGACGGGAGAGUAAAAUGUGGUUAACCUACCUAUAAGACUGGGAUAACUUAGUGAAACCGUUGCCAAUAACGGAUAAUAUUUUGAACGGCAUGGUUCAAAAGUGAAAGACGGUCUUGAUGUCCUUUCUAGAUGGAUCCGCGCUGCAUUAGCUAGUUGGUAAGGUAACGGCUUACCGUGGCAGCGAUGGCUAGCCGACCUGAGAGAGUGAUGGCGCACACUGGAAGUGAGACACGGUCCUGGCUCCUACGGGCGGCAGAGAUACGGAAGCUUGCGCGAUGUGCGAAAGCCUGACGGAGCGGCGCCGCGUGGAUGAUGAAGGUCUUCGUGUCGUAAGACUCUGUUAGUAGGGAAGAACGUAUUUGGAAGUAGCUAUGCACAUCUUGACGGUACCUAAUCAGAAAGCCCCGGCUAACUACGUG